rnacentral:rRNA from 1 species
AACGAACGCUGGCGGCAUGCCUAACACAUGCAAGUCGAACGAGACCUUCGGGUCUAUUGGCGCACGGGUGCGUAACGCGUGGGAACCUGCCCUUAGGUUCGGAAUAACUCCCCGAAAGGGGUGCUAAUACCGGAUAAUGUCUUCGGACCAAAGAUUUAUCGCCUUUGGAUGGGCCCGCGUUGGAUUAGCUAGUUGGUAGGGUAAAAGCCUACCAAGGCGACGAUCCAUAGCUGGUCUGAGAGGAUGAUCAGCCACACUGGGACUGAGACACGGCCCAGACUCCUACGGGAGGCAGCAGUGGGGAAUAUUGGACAAUGGGCGAAAGCCUGAUCCAGCAAUGCCGCGUGAGUGAUGAAGGCCUUAGGGUUGUAAAGCUCUUUUACACGGGAUGAUAAUGACAGUACCGGGAGAAUAAGCACCGGCUAACUACGUG